rnacentral:lncRNA from 10 species
AACUGUAAACAUAGUGUGCCAGAUUCAGAAAAGCCUGAAUUUGCAAAAAGUUUGUUUCGAUCAUCAUAGGCAAGGUGAAAUAGAAAGUCGAAGAAAUCAUCUCGGUCAUUACGAGUCCUCAAGUAGUUGCUUUUUGUACUUUGAAUAAAGACUUUAGUCAUAGUAGGAGAGAUAGACUGUAAUGGACUUACUUCACGAUGGCUGCACCAGAGGUUCCAAGAACGAUGGCUUUCAACUUCAACCCACAUCUAAAACACACCACUGUAGCCACACCCUACACCCUGUGGUUAUCCAGUUGUGAGUCCUAUUGGAGAGAUGAGGUGUAUGACAGUUUCCUGGAGGGGGUCAUAUGGAUCUACUACUACCUUCCCACUGACAUUAGGCAGAUGUUCAUUAGAUUGGUUUGAUAGAUGUAAUGGUUAAUAUUGAGUGUCAACUUGAUUGGAUUGAAGGAUGCAAAGUAUUGUUCCUGGGUGCGUCUGUGAGGGUGUUGCCAAAGGAGAUUAACAUUUGAAUCAUUGGACUGGGAGAGGCAGACCCACCCUCAAUCUGGGUGGGCACAAUCUAAUCAGCUGCCAGCAUGGCCAGCAUAAAAGCAGGCAGAAGAAUGUGGAAGGAGUAGACUGGCUCAGUCUCCUGGCCUACAUCUUUCUCCCACGCUGCAUGCUUCCUGCCCUCGAACAUUGGACUCCAAGUUCUUCAGUUUUGGGACUCUUGAACCUUUGACCACAGACUGAAGGCUACACUGUUGACUUCCCUACUUUUGAGCUUUUAGGACUCGGACUGGCUUCCUUGUUCCUCAGCUUGCAGACGGCCUAUUGUGGGACCUCACUUUGUGAUCAUGUGAGUCAAUACUCCUUAAUAAACUCUCCUUUAAAUAUACAUCUAUCUUGUUAGUUCUGUCCCUCUAGAGAACCUUGACUAAUACGAUAGGGAAGCCAUAGUGACUGUCACUAAUAUUCUAAUAAAAGAAUUAUUAUCUAUGCCAACUCUGGAGAGCCACAGGUAAGCUAUACAUAGAUCAAAGUGUAAACCAGGGGUUCUCUGAGUGUGAUUCCUGGACCAGCAGUAUGUGGUGACAUUUGAAAUGCAAAUUCUUGGGCCCCACCUCAGACCACUGAAUUAGAAACUCCAGAGGUGGAGCUCAGCAGUUUGUUUUAACUAGUUCUCCAGGUGAUGCUGAGGCACAUCACAGUUGGAAAUGGUGAGGUAAGUAAGGAAUUUCAGCAGUUCAACUGCUGAAAUGUAGAUCUUAACAAAGUGCUAAAUGAAUAGAGGAAAAAGGGAUAAUUAUCUGAGACAUUUGGAUCUUGUUUCACGAAUAGGAGUUCAGAUGAAGUUAGGGAGGUCUUUUGAAGUAUAGGAAACAAGACAUGCAAAGACUGGGGAGGUUAGGAAGACCAGACCUAUUUCAAGAUAUACAAUGGCCUAGUGGGGCUUGAGGUAGCAGGGUGCAUUCUUUUUCUUAGAUAUGCUUCCUCCUCUCUGCUCCAUGGUGCCACACAUGAUGCUGGUGAUAAAGGAGACUGAGCGAGGGUAAAGAUUCACAGUGCCAGCAAGGGCUUGGACAUUGGCAGCCUAUGGAUCAAAUUGUGCUUGCAGAUGGGCUGUAUUUGGUAUUUUAUUGUACAAACACUAUGUAUUUGGCAUAGCAUUAUACAAAUAAAUGUGAACUAACAUUUAAUAAUCAGUUUGGAUGUAUAUAUGUGUAUAUAUAUUAUGUAUAAAUAACAUAUAUGCUAACACAAAAAUAUAUGUGCUAUAUUUAUAUUCUAUACAAAUAACAUAUAAAUAUAUGUUAACAUAUAAAAAUAUAUG